UACGGAGGGUGCAAGCGUUAUCCGGAUUCACUGGGUUUAAAGGGUGCGUAGGCGGGACAGUAAGUCAGUGGUGAAAUCCUAUCGCUUAACGAUAGAAUUGCCAUUGAUACUGCUGACCUUGAGUACAAAUGAUGUGGGCGGAAUGUGCAGUGUAGCGGUGAAAUGCUUAGAUAUUGCACAGAACACCGAUAGCGAAGGCAGCUCACAAAAAUGUAACUGACGCUGAGGCACGAAAGUAUGGGGAUCAAACAGG
rnacentral:rRNA from 1 species